AGAAAGGGUUUGCGGGGGCACCAUGCACUCAGACACCUCUCAUCAGAAGGCUGUUGUAGAAUUUAACUGAUGCUGUUGGCUUCUCCUUCUAUAACCCAAAGUGUGUGGUCCAGGGACCCACUCUGAUGAUGUCAACCAGCUGGACAGUCCCAGGCCCCGCCCACAGCUACCGAAACAGCUCUACCUUGGCAAGAACAAGGCAUCGACUGUUUCCUUACUUGUAAGCUGAUAAAAGCCAUCGUCUCCCUUUGGCUGCUAGAAACCACCAUGUUUUCCGAUGCCAAUUCACAGGAGUGAAGAAACGUCUGACACGUAGUAUGUGGUACGGGCUCCAUCGGGAGACUGUGUCUGUUAUUUUAUCGUCAGCCCCAACGUUUCCAUUGCCACUAGCGUCACCCCCCAUCGUUGGCAUGUCCACCACCAUCACCAUCAUCACCAAUAUUACCAUCAUCCCUAUCACCAUUGUCCUCCCGCAUCUCCUCCCGAUAGCAACUCUCUUCAGAGAAAUGUUUUCUCUACUACAGAAUGAAAAGGGUCUUUCCAGAAAGGAGGUCUGAAACAUGAAGCGUCUCCUGGU